CGCACGAAGGACGUUUGCAUGCCCAGCAAGUACUUCGAAGACAAACUAUGGAUGACGAAGAGCUGCUAUACGGUCCAGGGAUAGCAGACUAAUAAAAUAAAACACGACGCUCCGUUUUGCUGGAAUGCUGUCAACCACCCAAGGGUCAUUUAAAAAAGACGCAAUUUUAGAUUAGCUGCAGAAAAAACAAUGGCCGCCACAAAAAAAAAA